rnacentral:rRNA from 1 species
UACGUAGGGGGGCAAGCGUUGUCCGGAAUCACUGGGCGUAAAGCGCGCGCAGGCGGCUGUCUACGUCCGGGGUGAAAGCCCCAGAGCUCAACUCUGGGACUGCCUUGGAUACGGGAUAGCUUGAGGAUCGGAGAGGCAAGGGGAAUUCCACGUGUAGCGGUGAAAUGCGUAGAGAUGUGGAGGAACACCUGUGGCGAAGGCGGCGAGCUGGUCCAUUACUGACGCUGAGGCGCGACAGCGUGGGGAGCAAACAGG